rnacentral:rRNA from 1 species
GACGAACGCUGGCGGCAUGCCUAACACAUGCAAGUCGAGCGAGCAGAUCCCUUCGAGGUGAAGCUAGCGGCGGACGGGUGAGUAACACGUGCGCAACCUGCCUCAUAGAGGGGAAUAGCCUUCCGAAAGGAAGAUUAAUACCGCAUAAGAUAGUAGCUUCGCAUGAAGUAGCAAUUAAAGGAGCAAUCCAAUAUGAGAUGGUCCCGCGGCGCAUUAGCUAGUUGGUGAGGUAACGGCUCACCAAGGCGACGAUGCGUAGCCGACCUGAGAGGGUGAUCGGCCACAUUGGGACUGAGACACGGCCCAGACUCCUACGGGAGGCAGCAGUGGGGAAUAUUGCACAAUGGGGGAAACCCUGAUGCAGCAAUGCCGCGUGAGUGAUGACGGCCUUCGGGUUGUAAAGCUCUGUCUUCGGGGACGAUAAUGACGGUACCCGAGGAGGAAGCCACGGCUAACUACGUGCCAGCCGCCGCAGUAA